AUAUUUCGUUUCGUAUUUCUCUCUCUGAAUUUUUAAAUCCCAUAUCAAUCACUUGGAUAAACACAUCAGCACGACCUUUGGAAUUUAUUUUUAUAUAUAUUUAGUUUACUUUAUAUAUAUUCAUAAAAUAUUUCUUUUUUAAUCAGCUGCUUUCUGGCUCACCGAAACCAACUUUAAGUUAGCGAAAGCCAAUUGCUUAAGCUGAUAUUGAAACUGGCAGCAGUUCACUUCGAUUCUCCAUCAAGAAGCAAAGUUUGAACUCUCAGUCUAUAGGAAAAUUUUAAAAUUUUAUUCAAUUUUUCCUGAGAAUUAAUAUCGUGCAGACUUUUUCCUAUGAACACAUCUCUAAAUGUAAACAGCAUGAAGUCGCAAAGAUAGAGACUUAGAGAUAUGGAAUACAAGUCUACAGAAUCUCAUUAAAAUUUUAGCUAAACAAAAUACGUACCACACAGGUCAGCUUGCUGCGUGGCAAGGUAAGCUACUCAGAACUGGCAAACAUAAGAAACAAGCAAUCAACAACAUUUCACUGCAAACUACUUGCCUGAAGACUUUGCCACAGAAAAAGACGUAAGAGACUCAAGAGGAUAUACUUAAUCGUUUCA